rnacentral:rRNA from 1 species
AGCUCGCUAGAGAAAGUAAGUGGCGCAGGGUGAGUACGCGUGGGUAAUCUGCUCCGAAUCGGUGAUAACAUUGCGAAAGCGAUGCUAAUACCGGAUAAAAUCUGGUUGGCUACGGUGAACCGGAUCAAAGGUGGUCUCUUUAUAAAAGCUAGCGUUUGGAGAUGAGCUCGCGUACCAUUAGCUAGUUGGUGAGGUAAAGGCUCACCAAUGCGACGAUGGUUAGCUGGUCUGAGAGGAUGAUCAGCCACACCGGAACUGGAACACGGUCCGGACUCCUACGGGAGGCAGCAGUGAGGAAUAUUGCGCAAUGGGGGAAACCCUGACGCAGCAACGCCGCGUGAGUGAUGAAGGCUUUCGGGUCGUAAAGCUCUGUCAGGUGGGAAGAACCCACCAAGUGUUAAGACCACUUGGUGCUGACGGUACCACCGAAGGAAGCACCGGCUAACUCCGUGCCAGCAGCCGCGGUAAUACGGGGGGUGCGAGCGUUAUUCGGAAUCAUUGGGCGUAAAGGGCGCGCAGGCGGUUUUGUAAGUCAGAUGUGAAAUCCCGGGGCUUAACCCCGGAAGUGCAUAUGAAACUAUGAGACUUGAGUAUGGGAGAGGGAAGCGGAAUUCCUGGUGUAGCGGUGAAAUGCGUAGAUAUCAGGAGGAAACACCGGUGGCGAAGGCGGCUUCCUGGACCAAUUAUGACGCUGAGGCGCGAAGGCGUGGGGAGCGAACAGGAUUAGAUACCCUGGUAGUCGACGCAGUAAACGUUGAACACUAGGUGUAGCGGGUAUUGACCCC